CGAAUGAGGUGCGGAAGUGUGAAGAUUAGAGAGUAGGCUCUGGUCGGUUCAGAGUUGGCAACAAGCAACGGACUUUAAAAAUCAUACAGAAGUGGUCCAGCAGGAAACAUUUGGACCCGCUGGAACAUCAGAGCUUCACCAUUUAGGCGGUUGCUGUCCACUGUGUGGCCUUGAGGGGGAUUUUGGCCGUUGCUCAUCAACUGCGAACUCAUCUCGCCCCAGCUGCAGAUUAAAGGAAUCAGUAUCCCUCCAUCCCUGUCCAAUCUGAACUCAGGAGGAUUUCACUUCUGUGAGUCCUCCGCUCUAAACCGACCAAAGUUCUGCAGCACUGAAUGUGCAUUAUUUUCCUGCAGGCAGGCAGUUGUCGUCACAUUGGACAAACGCAGCCUCUGCAGGACGAGAAUAAUGAAGCACAUUGUUUACUCCGAGAGGACUGAGUAGAUCUGUCACAGCAGCUGUCAGAGCAGACUUUAGAGAUUAAGUCACAUAGAGAUCCAGCUCUAUUUCUGAAGCAUCUUACGUAAGGAGGUGAGAAGAACCACUCAUCAUCCAACCGUUCUACUCAGAGGCUAUUCAGAUUUCUAGGCUUUCAUUGGAAAAUCCUCAGAAGUGGACUUUAAUUCGACAAGACUUGUUCUUUAAACACUUUAGAUGAGUUGCAGUGAAGGUUCUAAAAUAAUAUAAAGACUGCUUUGG